GAUUGCAGUGAUGACUCCAUAAAAUUCAAGCUCAACAGACCGGAUUGCAGGUUUUUCUCGGUCGAGGAAAAUUAUUUGCGUGUCGAUACACCCGCUGAGCUGAGCAAUA